UGCUGGAAUUCUCCGUGCCUUCCAG
rnacentral:piRNA from 1 species